UACGUAGGUGGCAAGCGUUGUCCGGAAUUAUUGGGCGUAAAGCGCGCGCAGGUGGUUCCUUAAGUCUGAUGUGAAAGCCCACGGCUCAACCGUGGAGGGUCAUUGGAAACUGGGGAACUUGAGUGCAGAAGAGGAAAGUGGAAUUCCAAGUGUAGCGGUGAAAUGCGUAGAGAUUUGGAGGAACACCAGUGGCGAAGGCGACUUUCUGGUCUGUAACUGACGCUGAGGCUCGAAAGCGUGGGGAGCAAACAGG
rnacentral:rRNA from 1 species